rnacentral:tRNA from 1 species
CGGAGUGUAGCGCAGUCUGGUAGCGCACUACGUUCGGGACGUAGGGGUCGCAGGUUCAAAUCCUGCCACUCCGACCA